AACGAACGCUGGCGGCAUGCCUAACACAUGCAAGUCGAACGAAGCCUUCGGGCUUAGUGGCGCACGGGUGCGUAACGCGUGGGAAUCUGCCUCUUGCUUCGGAAUAACAGUGGGAAACUACUGCUAAUACCGGAUGAUGUCCUCGGACCAAAGAUUUAUCGGCAAGAGAUGAGCCCGCGUAGGAUUAGGUAGUUGGUGGGGUAAAGGCCUACCAAGCCGACGAUCCUUAGCUGGUCUGAGAGGAUGAUCAGCCACACUGGGACUGAGACACGGCCCAGACUCCUACGGGAGGCAGCAGUGGGGAAUAUUGGACAAUGGGGGCAACCCUGAUCCAGCAAUGCCGCGUGAGUGAUGAAGGCCUUAGGGUUGUAAAGCUCUUUUACCAGGGAUGAUAAUGACAGUACCUGGAGAAUAAGCUCCGGCUAACUCCGUGCCAGCAGCCGCCGUAAAAC
rnacentral:rRNA from 1 species